UACGUAGGGGGCAAGCGUUGUCCGGAUUUAUUGGGCGUAAAGAGCGUGUAGGCGGCUUUGCAAGUCCGUUGUGAAAACUCGAGGCUCAACCUCGAGACGCCGGUGGAAACUGCAAAGCUAGAGUCCGGAAGAGGAGAGUGGAAUUCCUGGUGUAGCGGUGAAAUGCGCAGAUAUCAGGAAGAACACCCGUGGCGAAGGCGGCGCUCUGGGACGGUACUGACGCUGAGACGCGAAAGCGUGGGGAGCGAACAGG
rnacentral:rRNA from 1 species